AUAAUGCCUUUCCCAUGUGGACCACGCCCGUUAUUAUGACGAACUGCUUAUUUCGAAAUUCGUUUAACCGUUUUAUUGCAUUGUUAAUUUGACAUCAUAUUGUUUUGCGUUUGUAAUACGGGAAUUGAAAAGUGGACAGUUUCUUCGCAGAGAGAAUUCUCUCUAUGAGGUGAUGCUCCAUUAAAGCCGAGAUGUCCUACAGCUAUCCCGCCAAAGUCAACGUGCCUCCGGGCUUGAGGACGCUUUUGGAAGGCCUCAGUCGGGCGGUAGUGAAAAGGCGGCCAGAUUACAUCUCACAGUUUGCUCAAUUGUACUUUGCUGAGCUCUUGCGCUUCAGGACAGAAAAUCCAACUCUUGCUAUCAAAGCCCUCGUGAGAGAAUUCAAUGCAACUAAAG